UACGAAGGGGGCUAGCGUUGCUCGGAAUUACUGGGCGUAAAGCGCACGUAGGCGGUCUUUUAAGUCGGGGGUGAAAUCCUGGAGCUCAACUCCAGAACUGCCUUCGAUACUGGAAGACUUGAGUCCGGGAGAGGUGAGUGGAAUUCCUGGUGUAGCGGUGAAAUGCGCAGAUAUCAGGAAGAACACCCGUGGCUAAGGCGGCUCUCUAGUACGGUACUGACGCUGAGACGCGAAAGCGUGGGGAGCGAACAGG
rnacentral:rRNA from 1 species